AUAUGAUGUGAUGUUUCAGACCAACUUCAUAUGUGAGCAGUUGUAGCAGCUUCGAAGAUUUCUGUUCUGAGUAAAUAGUUUUUUUGCGCGCGGCAAUUUGUGGAUUAACGGCUGACCGCUUUUUUCUGGAAACUUAUUGACAACUUUUUGCAUAAUUCAGAUAGUUAUCCAGACCGUGAUUUUCCAACCGGAGGGCGAUUUGUCGCGCAAGAAGGAUGUUAAUAACUCAAAGUUGAAGCAGGGAGUUGUCAUGUUUGAAAGAGUUGACGGGUGAGGAAAAGGAGGAUCUUUUUCUGCCAUCUGUCUCAAAGAGAGGACUGUCUCAUGUCCACGGAGACUGUCUUGCCUCCGGAAGGGCCUAGCGGGCCCGGGACCGACCCUCAACAAGAGAGGAGUCCACUUCUAUCCAACUCUCACGAUGAAUGUGACACUGAAUCAUCAGGAACGACAAACACUUCUAGAACUUCAUCUCCCAGAGACCCAUGUGCUGAAGGACAAGAUCACAUGACUGGAGAGUGCCCUUCCUAUUGUGACCCAGUAAGAAGU